rnacentral:rRNA from 2 species
ACAGUGUCUGGUGGGUAGUUUGACUGGGGCGGUCUCCUCCUAAAGAGUAACGGAGGAGCACGAAGGUUGGCUAAUCCUGGUCGGACAUCAGGAGGUUAGUGCAAUGGCAUAAGCCAGCUUGACUGCGAGCGUGACGGCGCGAGCAGGUGCGAAAGCAGGUCAUAGUGAUCCGGUGGUUCUGAAUGGAAGGGCCAUCGCUCAACGGAUAAAAGGUACUCCGGGGAUAACAGGCUGAUACCGCCCAAGAGUUCAUAUCGACGGCGGUGUUUGGCACCUCGAUGUCGGCUCAUCACAUCCUGGGGCUGAAGUAGGUCCCAAGGGUAUGGCUGUUCGCCAUUUAAAGUGGUACGCGAGCUGGGUUUAGAACGUCGUGAGACAGUUC